rnacentral:tRNA from 1 species
GGAGAGAUGGCCGAGCGGUUUAAGGCAGCCCUCUUGAAAACGGCCGUAGGUGUAAGCCUACCGUGGGUUCGACCGGCUCCAUCGG